AGAUUAUAUUAAAAUUUGUAUUUUUAUUGAAAAUUUGAGAUUUUUAAAGUUUUUUUUUUUUUUAACAGAAAACAAUGUUUUCUAGAAAUCCCUUCACUACUCAGGCAUCUUCAUUUUCUUUUAUUAACUUUAUAUGUAUAUGUAACUUGUAUAUAUGUAAAUGUCUGUCAAUGCAACUUCCAUUUUGCUGUAAUUAAUGAACUCCCUAGCUGCAGGUCUGUAGCUCUCGCAGCAUACACACACGUGGAAUAGGCCAGAAACACAUCUUUUUGUUUCUCAUUUUCAUGUCUAGAUCUCUAAAACUGACUACAAUUUAAGAUGAGACUUUGAACAAUUUUAUUAUUAUGAACAUAUUUUAUUGAUUUUUAAGGAAAAAAAACCCUGGUCCAUGUAUUUUGUUUUGCAAGCAUAACUAAUUGAGAAGAUAACUAAUCAUGAAGAAUUUUUUAUUUUUUUUUUAAUAAUUUUUUUUUAUGUUUUUAAAAAAAUUGUAUGUGAUCAAGAAUUGUGAGUGUGUUUGAUUAGUCCCACACUGGGUGCAGCAGUAACCAUGGGGUAUAAUGGACAGUUAGUAGCUACAACACAGAAGAGAUAUAUAUGUACUGUGCAAUACAAUUAUUUCCCCUAGUCGAUGUAAACACUAGUCAGCCAGGCAAUACAGAAACAAGUGGAAAAAUGUUUAAUUUCUGUAUAAAGAAUACUCGCCCUGUAUCUUGAUGCGUUUGUUUGUAACAGAUUUGACAGAAGCAUCAAUGAUAAUGCAGAUAAAAGAAAUAAUGACAAGGAUUUGUUUUAAAAUGAACUCAUGAUUUCAUGCAUAAAAGUUAUUGGCAAGUCUUACAAAAUAGGGCAUCAAUACCUGUUUCUUUUGUACAUAUAUGUAACAUAAUGUGAUAGAGUUCUCUGUGUAUAAUACAUUAAUGUAGGUCAUCUAGUCAAAAUAUCAUUGGUGCUUAUAGGUAACUAUGGUAAUGACAUUUGUCGUAAAAUGGCAAACAAUAAAGUUGUAUUAAUUAACAGAUCAUGAUAUAGCCAAUUAUUUACAUACCGGUACUUUUUCCUAUAUUCUGUAAUGGGGGCGUCUUCACAUACUACAUUAUUAUAUCAAUGUAUAUCAUUUUAUCUGUUUUGGUAUUUUGUAUGCCAAUGUGUUUACCCUUUGUCAAGUAGUGUUCAGUUUAUGAAAAAUAUAAACAAUAAAUACUUGAAGU
rnacentral:sRNA from 1 species